AUACAGAGGGUACGAGCGUUAAUCGGAAUUACUGGGCGUAAAGCGCGCGUAGGUGGAAUAUUAAGUUGGGUGUGAAAUCCCCGGGCUCAACCUGGGCUGGUCAUCCAAAACUGGUAUUCUAGAGUACAGUAGAGGGAAGUGGAAUUUCCGGUGUAGCGGUGAAAUGCGUAGAUAUCGGAAGGAACAUCAGUGGCGAAGGCGACUUCCUGGACUGAUACUGACACUGAGGCGCGAAAGCGUGGGUAGCAAACAGGAUUAGAAACCCCGGUAGUCC
rnacentral:rRNA from 1 species